rnacentral:tRNA from 1 species
UCCCUGGUGGUCCAGUGGUUAGGACUCUGCACCUACACUGCGGGUGGCACAAAUUCGAUCCCUGGUCAGGGAU